AUUCACCAUUACCCUUUAUCGCUCGUUCGCGCGGUAACCUUACCGUGGUACACGACGCUCCGGACACGCGUAUCGGUGCAGCGUCAUCCCCGUCGUAUACCGGCGAAUCGCGAAAGUCGCGGGGAUUAAAAUCGUCACGGUAUGUUUCAGUGGAUCUGUAGUGUAACCGUCAUCGCCGGUAUCGCGACACUCUCUCGUCUCUCUCGCGUAGAUCGAGUGAAGGUUAUGGUCAUUGUCGCGAAUUGAUAAUUGCCCGAUGUAGAGAACGAUCGCGUUUCGGUGAUUAACGAACAAUUAUGGCAUCGAACAUAUAAAAUAUCUUACAACAGUGCCAUAUUUAGUAGCAAAAAUAUCGCAAGUGCAACGGAAUGUUUUCGUACGCCGGCAAUUUGCGGGAAAGCACGGGAAGGGAGUGGAGGGUAGAGAGGGAAGGAGCAGUCGUCCUGUACGCAUUCCUGGAAGUACGCGACCGUUUUAUCUUAUUUUCGCGAAUAAAUAAACGCAGCCAUACUGUAAGACACUCCACGUUUUCAACAUUAAAAUACAUCGCACUCGCGUAUCAUCAAUAUGUGUCGUUAGUUGGCAUAAAUAUAAUCGUGUAAUUAAUCUCGAUUUUAAUACGGGAUAAAAAAUUUUAAUUGAGUUCGACGUGCGUGGAUCGUGUACAUCGGUGACCUGUUACCAUCCGGACAGGCUGUGGACUCGAUACGCUGCGAGCGAUCAGCGAUGUCCAAUGAGAGCUCAGUUUCCUUCGAAUUAAUCAUCAUAUUGAAAAAAGUGAAACGCUCGUCGUGCAUCAAGUCUAGCUGUGCCCGGGUGCAACAUAAUUCGGAGUCGCGAGAGUCCUCUCUUUUCUCUUUGCAAUCAUUCCACUGUACGUCGCGUAUGUCGCGGUCCUUCUGUUUUUCUCGAGAUUGUUUUCCCGUUGUCGUGCGUCGCGAUAAAGUAUGUGUGACGACGCGUCGAAGCGGUUGAAUUAACCUCGGAAUAUCGUGUCGAGUGUCGCUCGAUCGUCAUUAACUGUGUUUUCGCGAGUGAAUUUUGUGCGAGCGCGGAAUUCUAACCUAUGAGGAGGAGGCAGGCUGAGAGGCAUCGGGCAUCGGCGGAGCAACUUUGAGUUGGUGACACAACUCCGCUGCUAUGCAUCGGUAUUGUGUGCACGCACAUGCACGCAUCUCGUGCGCGCACGCACACACACUGCAACUACAGAGAGUCAUUGCACCGAGGAGUCGGAUCAAUGAGACUGAUUACUCAGCUCUCCUCUUGCAGACACGAGACAGACCGGUCCGGCCAAACGCACUUAUUUUCCAUAGAAAUCGAGGGAAUGAGAUCAAGUGGAAUUGAAAACGCUUCCAAUUAAGUAGACUGCUGAGCGGAUUUUGACGAAAGGCCGUAUUACGUAGAGAAAAUUAAAUGGCGUGAGUGACCUAAAAUUUAUUGAAAUAUAGAUUUUAAUACUCAUAUAUUAAUGUAUAAUAAAUUUAAUCGCGCUAAAUAACUCUAGCAUGCUUUGGUAAUUUAGAUUUGUCUCUCUCAAAGUAAUUAGUGAUAUAAUUCGUAUUUAUAUGUACAUAAGUUUCUGUAGUAGAAAAUACAAUCAUUUGUUGCCAUUAUGUAAUUAUUGAUUUAUAUAUUAUUUCAUUAAUUAAAUUGAUGCUGAUAUACUCCAAUAAUAUAAAACAUAUCAUAAUGGUAUUCUGAAAUGAGAUCUUUAAAAUAAUUUCUUAUUAAUGUACCAAUUACAAAACUAUUCAAUAAUAUUAUAUAUAACAUUUAUAUAUAAAUGUUACGAUAUUAUUAUGAUAGUAGAGUAUAAUCAGAUAGGUAUACAGAAAAAAAAGUAAUAUAGCCAAUAACAUAUGUAAUUGCGGGCUGU